UUUACGGAUCACAUUAUGUGACAUAUCAUUCAAGUUUCUGACCUAUCAGAAAAAAGACGGUAGGGUAUUGGCCUACCGUGGCUAUGACGGGUAACGGGGAAUUAGGGUUCGAUUCCGGAGAGGGAGCCUGAGAAACGGCUACCACAUCUAAGGAAGGCAGCAGGCGCGCAAAUUACCCAAUCCUAAUACAGGGAGGUAGUGACAAGAAAUAACAAUACAGAGCCUUACGGUUUUGUAAUUGGAAUGAGUUAAGUAUAAACCCCUUAACAAGUAUCAAUUGGAGGGCAAGUCUGGUGCCAGCAGCCGCGGUAAUUCCAGCUCCAAUAGCGUAUAUUAAAGUUGUUGCAGUUAAAAAGCUCGUAGUUAAUUUUCUGUUAAUUUUUAUAUACAAUACUACGGUAUUUAUAUAAUAUUAACAUAAUUCAUAUUACUUUUUAGUAUAUGAAACUUUACUUUGAGAAAAUUAGAGUGCUUAAAGCAGGCUAUUGCCUUGAAUACUCCAGCAUGGAAUAAUAUUAAGGAUUUUUAUUCUUCUUAUUGGUUCUAGAAUAAAAAUAAUGAUUAAUAGGGACAGUUGGGGGCAUUUGUAUUUUAACAGUCAGAGGUGAAAUUCUUAGAUUUGUUAAAGACAAACUACUGCGAAAGCAUUUUGCCAAGGAUGUUUUCAUUAAUCAAGAAC
rnacentral:rRNA from 1 species